rnacentral:rRNA from 1 species
GACGAACGCUGGCGGCGUGCCUAAUACAUGCAAGUAGAACGCACAGUUUAUACCGUAGCUUGCUACACCAUAAACUGUGAGUUGCGAACGGGUGAGUAACGCGUAGGUAACCUGCCUGGUAGCGGGGGAUAACUAUUGGAAACGAUAGCUAAUACCGCAUAAUAUUAAUUAUUGCAUGAUAAUUGAUUGAAAGAUGCAAUUGCAUCACUACCAGAUGGACCUGCGUUGUAUUAGCUAGUAGGUGAGGUAACGGCUCACCUAGGCGACGAUACAUAGCCGACCUGAGAGGGUGAUCGGCCACACUGGGACUGAGACACGGCCCAGACUACUACGGGAGGCAGCAGUAGGGAAUCUUCGGCAAUGGACGAAAGUCUGACCGAGCAACGCCGCGGGAGUGAAGAAGGUUUUCGGAUCGUAAAGCUCUGUUGUAAGAGAAGAACGGGUGUGAGAGUGGAAAGUUCACACUGUGACGGUAUCUUACCAGAAAGGGACGGCUAACUACGUG